rnacentral:misc_RNA from 1 species
GAUGAAGAACGCAGCGAAAUGCGAUAAGUAAUGUGAAUUGCAGAAUUCAGUGAAUCAUCGAAUCUUUGAACGCACAUUGCGCCCGUCAGUAUUCUGGCGGGCAUGCCUGUUCGAGCGUCAUUACGCCCCUCAAGUCCCCUGUGGACUUGGUGUUGGGGAUCGGCGAGGCUGGUUUUCCAGCACAGCCGUCCCUUAAAUUAAUUGGCGGUCUCGCCGUGGCCCUCCUCUGCGCAGUAGUAAAACACUCGCAACAGGAGCCCGGCGCGGUCCACUGCCGUAAAACCCCCCAACUUUUUAUAGUUGACCUCGAAUCAGGUAGGACUACCCGCUGAACUUAAGCAUAUCAAUAAGAGGA